rnacentral:rRNA from 1 species
GAGCGCACACGUUGGUACCCGAAAGAUGGUGAACUAUGCCUGGCCAGGACGAAGCCAGGGGAAACCCUGAUGGAGGUCCGUAGCA